AGUGAACGCUGGCGGUAGGCCUAACACAUGCAAGUCGAACGGCAGCACAGUAAGAGCUUGCUCUUACGGGUGGCGAGUGGCGGACGGGUGAGGAAUACAUCGGAAUCUACUUUUUCGUGGGGGAUAACGUAGGGAAACUUACGCUAAUACCGCAUACGACCUACGGGUGAAAGCAGGGAGCUUCGGACCUUGCGCGAUUGAAUGCGGCGAUGUCGGAGUAGCUAGUUGGCGGGGUAAAUGCCCACCAAGGCGACGAUCCGUAGCUGGUCUGAGAGGGUGAUCAGCCACACUGGAACUGAGACACGGUCCAGACUCCUACGGGCGGCAGCAGUGGGGAAUAUUGGACGAUGGGCGCAAGCCUGAUCCAGCCAUACCGCGUGGGUGAAGAAGGCCUUCGGGUUGUAAAGGCCUUUUGUUGGGAAAGAAAAGAAGCAGGUUAAUACCCCGCUGUUUUGACGGUACCCAAAGAAUAAGCACCGGCUAACUUCGUG
rnacentral:rRNA from 1 species